UCCUGUCCCUCCAUCCCUGUCCCCAGUCCCUCUCCAGCUCUCCUGGAGCCCUUCAGGCCCUGCCAGGGCUCCGGGCUCUCCAAGCACCGCACAGGAUGAGCUGGCACGCAUGGAAAAAACCCUAAUGAAGCCAAGGAGCGUUAAUGAGCAGCUGGAAACCAUCAACCCAAACCUGUUCUGGCUGCGGGUGCCGCCCCGACGUGCCAGACGAGCCGGGAGCUCCGGGGGAGGAGGAGGAGGAGGAGGUGGCGAUGGUGGUGAAGGCUGCGGCUGCGGCUGCCGCCCCCGGGGCUCUGCGGAGAUGAAACGGGCCUCGCUUCUCUGGCUGCGGGGCCUCGCUCAGAGAACGGAGUGUGGCGUGGGUGUUACUGGCUGCUGGCGCUCUCCCCGGCUUCAGAAAGAAAUGCCAAUUACUAAUUUCAUGGAGAUAAGCCAUCCUGAAGGAGGGGAGGCAGAAAAAAACAAGGAAGGAAAAAAAACAGAAAAAAAUUCCUCCCGGCUUUGAAACACGAAAGGUGCCUUGUGCUAUUGCACUAAAGCCUGCUUUUUUAAAAAAAAUUUAUUUAUUUCUUUCUCUCCAGCUCGUGGGGGCACGGGAAUUGCUCUGUUCUGUCUGUGGAGGGAUGGGAGCACCUGAGGGGCUCUGCUGGGAGGCGGGAUUGGGACAUCCACGGGUCCAUUUCCACUCACACACACGGUCCUGCAUCCUGCCGGGUGUGAUUGCCAGCCCUGCGAGCCCCGAGGCUCCCAAACCUCGGAUCCCACCGGGAUCCAGCAGUCUCCUGCUCUCAGCAGCACGAGGUGACGCCUCUCCCGGCUCCUCCCUCCCGCCCGGCUCCCACAGCCCGCAACCACCGAGGGCAGGGGCUGGGGAGGGAAAAUGACGGUGCCCGGAAUGAAUCUGGGUGUAGUUUGCAUUUUUAUUGCUCCAGCCUCAGAUUCCAGCCUACAGAAGGGUUUCAAAAAGGAUUAGAUGCCAUAAAACCUUUAAUAAUCCUCCCACAUCUUAGGUUUAAUUAUUGUUUUUAUGCAUGCGGAGCCAACACGCCUGGAGCGAGCAAUCAAGGCUCGUACGCCGCUCCUCCUCCUCCUCCUCCUGCUUCCCGGCUCUCCCAGAGCCUCCCCGGGAUCAGCCGGCACCCGGAGCUCUCCUCCUUCCCAAAAACACUCCUCCCCCACAGCCCAGCGCUAUAAGAGCUCUUCCCGGCGGAGAGGAUGCGCUCCACGGUGGGAUCUGGGGUCGGUGGGAUCUGGGGUCGGUGCUGCCGGAGCCCCGCCGUGCUGGGGACACCCAUGGAUGUCCCCACGUGAGCUGCUGGAAUCACCUCUGGCUGGGAAUUCCGGGAAAUCCUCGGCUCCAGGUCUGCCCACCUGUUUGGGAGGAAGAUUUCAGCACUAAUUUGGCGCCACUGGAAUCGUUGCUGUUUCUUCGGGGGGAAGAAAUAAAAGAAAAAUCAGACCUUAGAA